CAUCUUGGAUCAGCUGUUGGUCAGGUGAACACAGAACGGCGCUAUGAAUGAAGAGCAGUGAAGAAGGGGCUACAAUAGAGAGACAGCGAAAGGAUCCGUGUCAUGAUGGUGCUCGUAUUGAUUGUCGCAGGUCUUGGGGUGGUCGCACUGCUCAUGGUUUUAUUCGCACCCCACAUUAGGAAAUACUCAGCAGGUGGAGCAUGUAUGUCUAUGACUCGGCUGGACGGGAAGACGGUCCUGAUUACUGGAGCCAACACUGGUAUUGGGAAGGAGACUGCUCUGGACCUGGCUAUCAGAGUCAUUCAUGGUGAGGCCUCCUGUCCUUCAUCACCACAAAGAUAAUGAUAAC